CAAGUCAAACGGGAAGUGGUGUUUCCACUGGCGGAUGGGUGAGUAGCGUGUAAGAACCUGCCCUUGGAGGGGAACAACAGUUGGAAACGACUGUUAGUACCCCGUAGGCUAAGGAGCAAAAGGAGGAAUUUGCUCGAGGAUGGGCUCGUGUCUGAUUAGCUUGCUGGUUAAGCAAUAGCUUACCAAGGCGAUGAUCUGUAGCUGGUCCGAGAGGAUGAUCAAGAUAAAUAUUAUAUUAAUUUAAUAUUAAAGUGAUUAAG
rnacentral:ncRNA from 1 species